AGCAUGGUUCCUUUAGUCUCUGGGAAAUGCUCAGAUAAAAUGAGAAAGAGCUGAUGGGAAGAUUGAACUCCAUCCUCCACCCCUCUCAUCCAUGCCCCAUGAAGCUCAUAAUAUGGAAAUAUAAGGAAAUACAUAAAGCCUUGAAGAUUAAAGCAAAAUUAAUGACUGGCUUUAAAUUCACAUUUACAGCCAGAGUCAAGAGAACACUACAAAUUGUAAAGUUACAUUGCUUCCUGAAAAGAAUAAGUUUUUCAUCUGCUUGA
rnacentral:lncRNA from 12 species